CGUGACGGUGGAUCCCUGGGAUGGCUGUGACUGUUGUUGUUGUUGAUGUGGCUGUUGCAACUGUUGUUGUUGCUGUUGUUGUUGCUGCUGUUGUUGCUGUUGUUGUUGCUGCUGUUGUCGACGACCACGCCCACAGGCCCAUAAUUCAAGUCUAUCUGGAGAGAGAAGUAAUAAAAACAGAAUGAUAUAAAACUGGUUGGCUAAGGGGGAUUACGAGAGUUCAAUGCAGUCGUAGAUGAUGGAGGGGAACUACAACAUAUCGUAGUACUUAUGAGGCGUAAUUAUAAGUUAAUUGGUCUAA